rnacentral:rRNA from 1 species
GUGGGAUUACCCGCUGAACUUAAGCAUAUCAAUAAGCGGAGGAAAAGAAACUAACAAGGAUUCCCCUAGUAACGGCGAGUGAAGAGGGAAAAGCCCAAAUUUGUAAUCUGGCUCUUUUAGAGUCCGAGUUGUAAUUUUGAGAACUGUUUUCAGUGCUGGACCAUGUUUAAGUCUGUUGAAAAACAGCAUCAUUGAGGGUGAUAAUCCCGUUCAUGAUAUGGACUACCAGUACUUUAUGAUACAGUCUCUAAGAGUCGAGUUGUUUGGGAAUGCAGCUCAAAGUGGGUGGUAAAUUCCAUCUAAGGCUAAAUAUAGGUGAGAGACCGAUAGCAAACAAGUACCGUGAGGGAAAGAUGAAAAGAACUUUGGAAAGAGAGUUAACAGUACGUGAAAUUGCUGAAAGGGAAACAAUUGAAGUUAGCCUUGUUAUUGUCAGUUCAGCUCUUUUAGAGUGUAUUCUGAUGAUUAACGACCAACAUCAGUCUUUGAGUGCUGGAUAAGGGUUUUGGAAAUGUAGCAGUCUCGGCUGUGUUAUAGUCCAUUACUUUGAUACAGUGCUUGGGAUUGAGGAUCGCAGUAAGCCAUUUUAUGGUGGACCAAAUUUUUGGUCUUCUUACUGAGGAUGUUGGUGAA